GCAGGUGAGGUCAACUAUGUCACUUCUGCUUUAUUUACUGUGACCUUUGUGUGGUGCAACAAGUGUAGGGGCACAGUACCAGGGAAGCAAUGCCCUUGACCCUGUGAGACCAGAUCUCUCCAGAGAGGCCACAGGGCAGGGCUGUCCCACCUACUUUCUCCUCAGGCUGACUCUGGAAGCUCCAGAGAACAACCCGAGUGCAAUGGAGGCCCCACUGCCACGUUCCGGCCGAGGCCCGGUUCUCAAGGAACUCACAGUCUACUGUGUCUUAUUUGUACUUCUGUCCCCGGCGCCUGGCACAGUGUCUGGCAUCUAGACGAGGCUCAACCGUGUAUAACUAGUUUGUUAUCGUUGCCAUUCUUGCUCCUUCAGUCUCCUGGGUAAGUUGAGUACCAGACACAGAAUGCCUGUGAGUCUUCGAAACCAAGUUUUUUUUGGAAAUUAUAGAUAAAAUUUAUUCAA